rnacentral:rRNA from 1 species
UACGUAGGGGGCAAGCGUUGUCCGGAUUUACUGGGCGUAAAGAGCGCGCAGGCGGUCAGAUAAGUCGAAUGUGAAAGCCCCCGGCCCAACUGGGGAGGGUCAUUCGAUACUGUUCGACUCGAAGGCAGGAGAGGGAAGUGGAAUUCCCGGUGUAGUGGUGAAAUGCGUAGAUAUCGGGAGGAACACCAGUGGCGAAGGCGACUUCCUGGCCUGUUCUUGACGCUGAGGCGCGAAAGCUAGGGGAGCAAACGGG